AUUGAACGCUGGCGGCAGGCCUAACACAUGCAAGUCGAACGAGUGGCGGACGGGUGAGUAAUGUCUGGGAAACUGCCCGAUGGAGGGGGAUAACUACUGGAAACGGUGGCUAAUACCGCAUACCAUCAGAUGUGCCCAGAUGGGAUUAGCGAGUUGGUGGGGUAACGGCUCACAGAGGCGACGAUCUCUAGCUGGUCUGAGUGGAUGACCAGCCACACUGGGACUGAGACACGGUCCAGACUCCUACGGGAGGCAGCAGUGGGGAAUAUUGCACGAGGGGCGCAAGCCUGAUGCAGCCAUGCCGCGUGUAUGAAGAAGGCCUUCGGGUUGUAAAGUACUUUCAGCGGGGAGGCGUUACCCGCAGAAGAAGCACCGGCUAACUCCGUGCCAGCAGCCGCGGUAAUUC
rnacentral:rRNA from 1 species